rnacentral:rRNA from 1 species
GAUGAACGCUGGCGGCGUGCCUAAUACAUGCAAGUCGAGCGAACGGACGAGAAGCUUGCUUCUCUGAUGUUAGCGGCGGACGGGUGAGUAACACGUGGAUAACCUACCUAUAAGACUGGGAUAACUUCGGGAAACCGUAGCUAAUACCGGAUAAUAUUUUGAACCGCAUGGUUCAAAAGUGAAAGACGGUCUUGCUGUCACUUAUAGAUGGAUCCGCGCUGCAUUAGCUAGUUGGUAAGGUAACGGCUUACCAAGGCAACGAUGCAUAGCCGACCUGAGAGGGUGAUCGGCCACACUGGAACUGAGACACGGUCCAGACGCCUACGGGAGGCAGCAGUAGGGAAUAUUCCGCAAUGGGCGAAAGCAUGACGGAGCAACGCCGCGUGAGUGAUGAAGGUCUUCGGAUCGUAAAACUCUGUUAUUAGGGAAGAACAUAUGUGUAAGUAACUGUGCACAUCUUGACGGUACCUAAUCAGAAAGCCACGGCUAACUACGUG